rnacentral:rRNA from 1 species
ACAGGGAUUGCCCUAGUAACGGCGAGUGAAGCGGCAACAGCUCAAAUUUGAAAUCUGGCUCCGGCCCGAGUUGUAAUUUGCAGAGGAAGCUUCUGGUGAUAUACCGUCUAAGUCCCCUGGAACGGGGCGCCACAGUGGGUGAGAGCCCCAUGUGACGGAUGUAGAUCCUGUGUGAAGCUCCUUCGACGAGUCGAGUAGUUUGGGAAUGCUGCUCAAAAUGGGAGGUAAAUUCCUUCUAAAGCUAAAUAUUGGCCAGAGACCGAUAGCGCACAAGUAGAGUGAUCGAAAGAUGAAAAGCACUUUGAAAAGAGGGUUAAACAGCACGUGAAAUUGUUGAAAGGGAAGCGCUUGUGACCAGACUUGCGCUGGGCUGAUCAUCCGGUGUUCUCACCGGUGCACUCGGCCCAGCACAGGCCAGCAUCGGUUUUGGCGGGGGGAUAAAGACUCAGGGAAUGUAGCUCCUCCGGGAGUGUUAUAGCCCGGUGUGCAAUACCCCCGCUGGGACCGAGGUUCGCGCAUUCGCAAGGAUGCUGGCGUAAUGGUCAUCAGCGACCCGUCUUGAAACACGGACCAAGGAGUCAAGGUUUUGCGCGAGUGUUUGGGUGUCAAACCCGCACGCGUAAUGAAAGUGAACGUAGGUGAGAGCUUCGGCGCAUCAUCGACCGAUCCUGAUGUAUUCGGAUGGAUUUGAGUAGGAGCGUUAAGCCUUGGACCCGAAAGAUGGUGAACUAUGCUUGGAUAGGGUGAAGCCAGAGGAAACUCUGGUGGAGGCUCGCAGCGGUUCUGACGUGCAAAUCGAUCGUCAAAUCUGAGCAUGGGGGCGAAAGACUAAUCGA